rnacentral:rRNA from 1 species
UGAUCCUGGCUCAGAAUGAACGCUGGCGGCAUGGUUAAAACAUGCAAGUCGCACGCGAACGUCAAUGCUGGCUUGCCAGCGGCGACUAUUAGAGUGGCGGAAGGGCGAGUAAUGUAUGGGUAACGUACCUCUUGCACGAGGAUAGCCGCGGGAAACUGCGGGUAAUACUCGAUGCUGUCCUAGGGUCAUAUGACCUCUGGAUGAAAGGCGGGGAUCUUCGGACCUGUCGGCAGGAGAGCGGCCCAUAUGCUAUCAGCUAGUUGGUGAGGUAACGGCUCACCAAGGCGACGACGGCUAGCGGAGCUGAGAGGUUGGCCCGCCGCACUGGGACUGAGACACUGCCCAGACUCCUACGGGAGGCUGCAGUAACGAAUCUUCCGCAAUGGGCGAAAGCCUGACGGAGCAAUGCCGCGUGUGGGAAUAAGCUCUUCGGAGUGUAAACCACUGUCAGGGGUUACCAAGCAAUGGGAGCUAAUAUCUCCCGGCGUUGAGGAGCCCCAGAGGAAGCCACGGCUAACUUCGUGCCAGCAGCCGCGGUAAUACGGAGGUGGCGAGCGUUAUUCGGAAUCACUGGGCUUAAAGAGCACGUAGGCGGAAUACCAAGCGUCUUGUGAAAUCCCUCGGCUCAACCGAGGAAUUGCAGGGCGAACUGGUAUUCUUGAGGCAGGUAAGGGUGAGUGGAACUCUUGGUGGAGCGGUGGAAUGCGUAGAUAUCAAGAGGAACGCCGGAGGUGAAGACGACUCACUGGGCCUGUCCUGACGCUGAGGUGCGAAAGCCAGGGGAGCGAACGGGAUUAGAUACCCCGGUAGUCCUGGCCAUAAACGAUGUCCACUAGGUCGAUGACAUUCUGACAUGGUGUCGGCCGAAAGAAAACCGUUAAGUGGACCGCCUGGGGAGUACGGUCGCAAGGCUAAAACUCAAAGGAAUUGACGGGGGCUCACACAAGCGGUGGAGCAUGUUGCUUAAUUCGAUGCAACGCGAAGAACCUUAUCCUGGGCUUGACAUGCUUGGAUGCCCCCCUGGAAACAGGGAUCGGCUGCCCUUCGGGGUGAAACUUGCACAGGUGCUGCAUGGCUGUCGUCAGCUCGUGUCGUGAGAUGUUGGGUUAAGUCCCGUAACGAGCGAAACCCUUGUCGUUAGUUGCCAGCGGGUCAUGCCGGGGACUCUAACGAGACUGCCGGUGUCAAACCGGAGGAAGGUGGGGAUGACGUCAAGUCCUCAUGGCCUUUAUGCCCAGGGCCGCAAACGUGCUACAAUGGCUGGUACAAACCGACGCGAGACCGCGAGGUGGAGCAAAUCGGAAAAAGCCAGCCCCAGUUCGGAUUGCAGUCUGCAACUCGACUGCAUGAAGUCGGUAUCGCUAGUAAUCGCGCAUCAGCGUGGCGCGGUGAAUAUGUUCCUGAGCCUUGUACACACCGCCCGUCAAGUCAUGGAAGCUGGGAGCACCCGAAGUCGG